GGGAUUUCUUCACAAGGAGGUCCUGGUUGCAGGGCUCCUGCAGGGACCUGGAUUUAGUUAAACAAAUAUGCAGCCCUAGGAACAGAGGACAGCCCAGAAGGGGCAGCAGUUUAUCAGCGUCAUCUCUGGGAUCACCCCUGAGCUCCAAAGACGAUCUCUGCCAACUUAAUUGGAACAGUUGGUGAAAGUUGGGGACCACUACUCCAGGAGAUAACUCCCUUGCUCCUUUCCAGCUGUGUUUGAGCCAAAUCAUGAACAAAGGCUCUGAAGGCAAGUCUACCUCUGGGCCAAUUGUGAACACUGUUGCAUAGCGAACUUCGAUCUACAGAAAAUUACGCUGCAAAGCAGUCACAGGACUUCUGGGUGCAACCUAAAAGAACAGGAGAAGCAAGUUCUGCAUGGCCUCUGGGGUUUCCACACAUGUUUAGUUGGCAGUGAUCAUCAUACCACGUAACAUGAAUCAUACUGGAUAAGAGCACCUGCCAUGCUGGAAAGACAGCAUGCAAGUCAGUCUCAGUCUAUGUACUGCAGUGAACAGAGCACCCUCCCUCUCCUCCCUGAAGUCUAACAGCAUGAAGUGGUUUUCUUUGUGUGUUCACUAUGGCACAGUCAUUGAGAGCCUCCUUCUGCCAGUGCUGCAUCCUUCUUGUGUGGUUCUGCACUCCAGUCCUAUUCCUGCUCAUCCCAGUUGUGCCAGUCUCAGUUUCUCUGGCCUAUAGCAUGUUCUACUUUUUGUCCAGCAACUCUCCCAACCAGCAAGCAGUAUACAGGCUACAGGAGACUCACAGCAAUAGAGCUGCAAGGAGUGUAAGUGAAAGCAGAAUUUGGUCCAUAGUCUUGAAUAAAGAUUCAUACAAGAUGCAAUCAUCCAGGUGCUGUAUGCUAUGCACAAAUUUGUUAAAUCUUAUCAUAUGAGUUGCUGAUGCAACU